CCUACGGGAGGCAGCAGUGAGGAAUAUUGGUCAAUGGGCGGGAGCCUGAACCAGCCAAGUCGCGUGAGGGAAGACGGUCCUAUGGAUUGUAAACCUCUUUAGGCGGGGAGCAAUGCCGGGCACGUGUGCCCGGAGGGAGAGUACCCGCAGCAUAAGCAUCGGCUAACUCCGUGCCAGCAGCCGCGGUAAUACGGAGGAUGCGAGCGUUAUCCGGAUUUAGUGGGUUUAAAGGGUGCGUAGGCGGAUUUUUAAGUCAGCGGUAAAAUGUCCGGGCUCAACCCGGGCCGGCCGUUGAAACUGGGGAUCUUGAGUGGGCGAGAAGUAUGCGGAAUGCGUGGUGUAGCGGUGAAAUGCAUAGAUAUCACGCAGAACUCCGAUUGCGAAGGCAGCAUACCGGCGCCCGACUGACGCUGAGGCACGAAAGCGUGGGGAUCGAACAGGAUUAGAUACCCCGGUAGUC
rnacentral:rRNA from 1 species